rnacentral:rRNA from 1 species
UACGAAGGGGGGCUAGCGUUGCUCGGAAUCACUGGGCGUAAAGCGCACGUAGGCGGAUUGUUAAGUCAGGGGUGAAAUCCUGGAGCUCAACUCCAGAACUGCCUUUGAUACUGGAGAGCUUGAGUCCGGAAGAGGUGAGUGGAACUCCGAGUGUAGAGGUGAAAUUCGUAGAUAUUCGGAAGAACACCAGUGGCGAAGGCGGCUCACUGGUCCGGUACUGACGCUGAGGUGCGAAAGCGUGGGGAGCAAACAGG